GAUGAACGCUAGCGAUAGGCUUAACACAUGCAAGUCGAGGGGCAUCGAGGGUAGCAAUACCUGUCGGCGACCGGCGCACGGGUGAGUAACGCGUAUGUAACCUGCCCGCAACAGAGGGAUAACCCGGCGAAAGUCGGACUAAUACCUCAUAAAACAGGGGUUCCGCAUGGGGCUAUUUGUUAAAGAUUUAUUGGUUGCGGAUGGGCAUGCGUACCAUUAGGUAGUUGGUGAGGUAACGGCUCACCAAGCCAUCGAUGGUUAGGGGUUCUGAGAGGAAGGUCCCCCACACUGGUACUGAGACACGGACCAGACUCCUACGGGAGGCAGCAGUGAGGAAUAUUGGUCAAUGGGCGAGAGCCUGAACCAGCCAAGUCGCGUGAAGGAUGGACUGCCCUAUGGGUUG
rnacentral:rRNA from 1 species